rnacentral:rRNA from 1 species
UACGUAGGGGGCAAGCGUUGUCCGGAAUCAUUGGGCGUAAAGAGCGUGUAGGCGGCCCGGUAAGUCCGCUGUGAAAGUCCAGGGCUCAACCUGGGAUGCCGGUGGAUACUGUCGGGCUCGAGUCCGGAAGAGGAGUGUGGAAUUCCUGGUGUAGCGGUGAAAUGCGCAGAUAUCAGGAGGAACACCGGUGGCGAAGGCGGGUCGCUGGGCCGAUGACUGACGCUGAGGAGCGAAAGCGUGGGGAGCGAACAGG